rnacentral:rRNA from 1 species
AACUUUCGAUGGUAGGAUAGAGGCCUACUAUGGUGGUGACGGGUGACGGAGAAUUAGGGUUCGAUUCCGGAGAGGGAGCCUGAGAAACGGCUACCACAUCCAAGGAAGGCAGCAGGCGCACAAAUUACCCAAUCCCGACAUGGGGAGGUAGUGACAAUAAAUAACAAUACAGGGUUCUUUUGGAUCUUGUAAUUGGAAUGAGUACAAUUUAAAUCUCUUAACGAGGAACAAUUGGAGGGCAAGUCUGGUGCCAGCAGCCGCGGUAAUUCCAGCUCCAAUAGCGUAUAUUAAAGUUGUUGCAGUUAAAAAGCUCGUAGUUGAACUUCGGGAUCAAUGAAUCGGUCAUGCUUUCGUAUGUACUGGUUUUAUUGGUUCUCACCUUCUAAGGAACCUUAAUGUCAUUCAUUUGAUGUUUUGGGGAAUUAGGACUGUUACCUUGAAAAAAUUAGAGUGUUUAAAGCAGGCUAACGCUUGAAUACAUUAGCAUGGAAUAAUGAAAUAGGACGUCGCAUUCUAUUUUGUUGGUUUCUAGGAUCGAUGUAAUGAUUAAUAGGGAUAGUUGGGGGCAUUAGUAUUCAAUUGUCAGAGGUGAAAUUCUUGGAUUUAUUGAAGACUAACUACUGCGAAAGCAUUUGCCAAGGAUGUUUUCAUUAAUCAAGAACGAAAGUUAGGGGAUCGAAGACGAUCAGAUACCGUCGUAGUCUUAACCAUAAACUAUGCCGACUAGGGAUCGGAUGAUGUUGAUUUUUUAAUGACUCAUUCGGCACCUUACGGGAAACCAAAGUGUUUGGGUUC